UUCUGCCUACGGGGCGCAGCAGUAGGGAAUCUUCCACAAUGGACGAAAGUCUGAUGGAGCAACGCCGCGUGAGUGAAGAAGGGUUUCGGCUCGUAAAGCUCUGUUGGUAGUGAAGAAAGAUAGAGGUAGUAACUGGCCUUUAUUUGACGGUAAUUACUUAGAAAGUCACGGCUAACUACGUGCCAGCAGCCGCGGUAAUACGUAGGUGGCAAGCGCUGUCCGGCUUUAUU
rnacentral:rRNA from 1 species